UAUUAGUUGGGUUUCCUGGUGUCUCUUUAGCAAGUGAAGUUUCUGGUUCCCUCCUUCACUGUGUGACCUGCCUAGUCCUCCUGGGUCGCAUUUACAGAAGUUUAUACGAGACCUAGUUUCCAGGGAAGAACUCACUGAUUCCGCGAGGGAGAUGGCGUAAUAGAUGAUGGUCGUCAGCCUUAAGGGUACUUCAGUCUUAACUGUGUGUUAGAAAGUUUGAAAGGGAGGGUUCCCUAUGAAUAAGAAGCACACUUGAAAGAACAGCCGUCUGGUCUAACCUCUCACUGGUGCUUCAGAGGAGGAAAAAAGGUCACAGCUAUGUUUCCAGUGUCCUCUGGGUGUUUCCAAGAGCAACAAGAAACGAAUAAAUCUCUGUUGAAGAGAUACCAUUUGAUAUUUUAGAGAUGCCUGCAUGCAAACUCUUAAAACAUUUGAGUAAGUACAGUGCAACAGG
rnacentral:lncRNA from 1 species